rnacentral:tRNA from 1 species
UAAGAGGAAAAUCCGUCGACUKUAAAAAUCGUGAGGGUUCAAGUCCCUCUAUCCCCAA